CCCAGGGCGUUGCCCUGGGCUGAUUUGUUUCGCCCCUUCGGGGCA
rnacentral:sRNA from 1 species